GGGGGGGGGGGGGGGGGGGGGGGGUGGGGGGGGGGCGGGGGGGGGGGUGGGGAGGGUGGGGCUUUGCGGAUGGCGGGGGCGGGGUGGGUCGCACGUGGGUAGCCGGCCUAUAAGACUGGCAUAGCUCCGGGGCGCCUGCGCUCCUGCCGGACCACGUUUCGCGCCUCCUGGGUCUCGCUGACACCCUGGUUUUCCUCUGACUUCUAUAUGGCCCCGCGCCGUAUGAGCUCGUUGGUCCGGUCACGGCUUACCAAGGCAACGAUACGUAGCCGACCUGCGAGGGGGACCGGCCACACUGGAACUGAGACACGGUCCAGACUCCUCCGGGAGGCAGCAGUAGGGAAUCUUCCGCAAUGGGCGAAAGCCUGACGGAGCAACGCCGCGUGAGUGAUGAAGGUCUUCGGAUCGUAAAACUCUGUUAUUAGGGAAGAACAAAGGCGUAAGUAACUGUGCACGUCUUGACGGUACCUAAUCAGAAAGCAACGGCUAACUACGUG
rnacentral:rRNA from 1 species